CAGCGGAACCCGGGCCUCCCCGCCCCCGCUCCGCGGAGGGGCGUCCCCUGGGCGGGGAGACCACAAGUUUGUCCGUCGUCAGUGGCCUGUUGGAUCCAAGCGCCUCCGCCUCCGCAGAGGGUGUCCCUGGCGCCCAGAACCCCGAGCGGACAGCCCUGGGGACCCGGAGAGGCUCGGCGGCCGGGCUCCCUGGGCCGGGGCGCUGGCUGCUGCGCCGGGCGCGCCCAGGCACCCGGGGCCGGGCCAGCGCCCCCUGCGUCCCCACGCGGGCAGCGGCCCCGCCGGAGGAGAAACCCGGGUCGCUGCCAACGCCACCGCCGCCUCCUCAGUCUCCUGGUCUCCGUCGCCGCCGCCCCCUCCGCCGCCUCUCGGGGAAGGGGAAGACGCAAGGGGCAUCGCGGGGCCCCGGCGGAUGCGCCCCCCACCGCCUCUCGGGCUGCGCCGCCUCGCGGGGAUGAAGCACGGGCCGUGAAGAUGGAGGUGACCUGCCUUCUACUUCUGGCGCUGAUCCCCUUCCAUUGCCGGGGACAAGGAGUCUACGCUCCAUCCCAGGCUCAGAUCGUGCACGCAGGCCAGGCAUGUGUGGUGAAAGAGGACAACAUCAGUGAGCGCGUCUACACCAUCCGGGAGGGGGACACGCUGGUGCUGCAGUGCCUUGUCACCGGGCACCCUCGGCCCCAGGUGCGUUGGACCAAGACCGCGGGCAGCGCGUCAGACAAGUUCCAGGAGACGUCGGUGUUCAAUGAGACGCUGCGCAUCGAACGCAUUGCACGCACGCAGGGCGGCCGCUACUACUGCAAGGCUGAGAACGGCGUGGGCGUGCCUGCCAUCAAGUCCAUCCGGGUGGACGUGCAGUACCUGGACGAGCCAGUGCUGACAGUGCACCAGACAGUGAGUGAUGUUCGAGGCAACUUCUACCAGGAGAAGACGGUGUUCCUGCGCUGUACGGUCAACUCCAACCCACCUGCCCGCUUCAUCUGGAAGCGGGGCUCCGACACCCUGUCUCACAGCCAGGACAAUGGGGUCGACAUCUAUGAGCCCCUCUACACCCAGGGGGAGACCAAGGUCCUGAAGCUGAAGAACCUGCGGCCCCAGGACUAUGCCAGCUACACCUGCCAGGUGUCUGUACGCAACGUGUGUGGCAUCCCGGACAAGGCCGUCACCUUCUGGCUCACCAACAUCACAGCUCCACCAGCCCUGAAGCUGUCUGUGAACGAAACUCUGGUGGUAAAUCCUGGGGAGAAUGUGACGGUACAGUGUCUGCUGACAGGCGGUGAUCCCCUGCCCCAGCUGCAGUGGUCCCAUGGACCAGGCCCACUGCCCCUGGGUGCCCUGGCCCAGGGUGGCACCCUCAGCAUCCCUUCAGUGCAGGCCCGAGACUCUGGCUACUACAACUGCACAGCCACCAACAAUGUGGGCAACCCUGCCAAGAAGACAGUCAACCUCCUGGUGCGAUCCAUGAAGAACGCCACAUUCCAGAUCACCCCAGAUGUGAUCAAAGAGAGUGAGAACAUACAGCUGGGCCAGGACCUGAAGCUGUCAUGUCAUGUGGAUGCAGUGCCCCAGGAGAAGGUGACCUACCAGUGGUUCAAGAAUGGCAAGCCAGCACGCAUGUCCAAGAGGCUGCUGGUGACUCGCAAUGACCCUGAGUUGCCUGCCGUCACCAGCAGCCUAGAGCUCAUUGACCUACACUUCAGUGACUACGGCACCUAUCUGUGCGUGGCUUCCUUUCCGGGGGCACCUGUGCCUGACCUGAGCGUCGAAGUCAACAUCUCCUCUGAGACAGUGCCUCCCACCAUCAGCGUGCCCAAGGGCAGGGCAGUGGUGACCGUGCGCGAGGGCUCGCCUGCCGAGCUGCAAUGCGAGGUGCGGGGCAAGCCGCGGCCGCCUGUGCUUUGGUCCCGUGUGGACAAGGAGGCUGCGUUGCUGCCCUCGGGGCUGCCCCUCGAGGAGACCUCGGAUGGGAAGCUGCGGCUUGAGCGCGUGAGCCGAGACAUGAGUGGGACCUACCGCUGCCAGACGGCUCGCUAUAAUGGCUUCAACGUGCGCCCCCGCGAAGCCCAGGUGCAGCUGAACGUGCAGUUCCCGCCGGAGGUGGAGCCCAGCUCCCAGGACGUGCGGCAGGCGCUGGGCCGGCCAGUGCUGCUGCGCUGCUCGCUGCUUCGAGGCAGCCCCCAGCGCAUCGCCUCGGCUGUGUGGCGCUUCAAAGGGCAGCUGCUGCCUCCGCCGCCUGCCGUCCCCGUCGCCGCCGAGGCCCCCGACCACUCCGAGCUGCGCCUCGACGCCGUCAGCCGCGACAGCAGCGGCAGCUACGAGUGCAGCGUCUCUAACGACGUGGGCUCGGCCGCCUGCCUCUUCCAAGUCUCGGCCAAAGCCUACAGCCCGGAGUUUUACUUCGACACCCCCAACCCCACCCGCAGCCACAAGCUGUCCAAGAAUUACUCCUAUGUGCUGCAGUGGACCCAGAGGGAGCCUGACGCUGUCGACCCCGUGCUCAACUACAGACUCAGUGUCCGCCAGUUGAAUCAGCACAACGCCAUGGUGAAGGCCAUCCCGGUGCGGCGUGUGGAGAAGGGGCAGCUGCUGGAGUACAUCCUGACCGACCUCCGAGUGCCCCAGAGCUACGAGGUCCGCCUCACGCCCUAUACCACUUUCGGGGCCGGAGAUAUGGCCUCCCGCAUCAUCCACUACACGGAGCCCAUCAAUUCUCCCAAUCUGUCAGACAACACCUGCCACUUUGAGGAUGAGAAGAUCUGUGGCUACACCCAGGACCUGACAGACAACUUUGACUGGACCCGGCAGAAUGCCCUCACCCAGAACCCCAAGCGCUCCCCCAACACUGGUCCCCCCACUGACAUAAGCGGCACCCCUGAGGGCUACUACAUGUUCAUUGAGACAUCAAGGCCCCGGGAGUUGGGGGACCGUGCAAGGUUGGUGAGUCCCCUGUACAACGCCAGCGCCAAGUUCUACUGUGUCUCCUUCUUCUACCACAUGUACGGGAAGCACAUCGGUGAGUUGAGGAACCAGGCUCCCUCAACCUCCUGGUGCGGUCCCGGAACAAAGGGGCGCUGGACACGCACGCCUGGUCCCUCAGUGGCAAUAAGGGCAACGUGUGGCAGCAGGUGCACGUGCCCAUCAGCCCCAGCGGGCCCUUCCAGAUUAUUUUUGAGGGGGUUCGAGGCUCGGGCUACCUGGGGGAUAUCGCCAUAGAUGACGUCACAGUGAAGAAGGGAGAAUGUCCCAGGAAGCAGAUGGAUCCUAAUAAAGUGGUGGUGAUGCCGGGCAGCGGCGCCCCCUGCCAGCCCUGCCCGCAGCUCUGGGGGCCCGCGGCCGUCUUCCUCUUGGCGCUGCAGAGAUGAUGAGUGCUUCGUGGCGCCCCCGCCCCGCCCCCGGCACACCAAAGUGUCCCCAUCGUACCAAAGACUGACCCCACGCCAGCCGGGGUGCCCAGGGGCAGGGCCGCCCGCAGGGAGGGGGCCUGCAUUGGCUGCGAGGAUGAACAGAGAACGAGGACGGAGGCCCGGCACUGAGGCCCCGGAGACCGCUGUUCCACACGCACACACUCACACACACACACAUAUAUUAAAGCACAAGUUUUU